UGGAUGUGCUAUACACAGACAUAACACUUCUUUGGGUUUUCUGUUCGUUAGGAUAUCAAAUAUCUUAAAUUUAAAACUCUUCAAUAUGAGCUGGAGUGUUUUCUCUUUCAUUUCAGAAGCUAAGCAAAACUGUUUCUGUAGCAUUGCACAUUUUAGGCAUGUCAUGCUUGCAAACUAGCCACUAGAAGCAAUGCUGUUUUCAAACCUUUGACAUAACAAUGUAAAUAUUACUGAGUAUUGCAGUACCUUAAAUUGCUGUUGGGAAGUGGCUGCUGUCAAACUGACUGGAUUGUGGAAAUCAAAAAGAAUGUGAUUGUUGAUGGGGGAAUUAACUUCUUCACAACCUGAUGUGGAGACUGUCAUUUGUCUUGGGAAUUUAUCGAUUGGCAAGUAAUGAUAUACAAUAGCUAUGCCUUCCAUGAGCUUAACUGGUUUUUUGUGUGCUUUUCUUUUUCUAUGAGAACUGCCUCAAAGAGGUUUUCUCAAACUGUGGGCCAGGGAUAGCCAACAGGCCUCAGAAAUGCAGCCACCCCAGUGCCUCCUUCCUCGCUUACCAUGCUCCCAACUGCCCCAGCAUCAGCUCCCUGCAAGCUCAGUGCAUAGGCAUGUGUGAGAAUGUGAGUUAAGAAAGUCAAGCUAUAGCAUGCAAGGCUGGAGGAGAGAAAACUGACAGCAGGUAGAUGGGCAAACCAACUGGGGGAGGGAGAGGGGCAAAAGGGGGGUGGGAAGCAUAGGGAAGAGAAAAAGAAGCAGCAGCCAGAGUUGCUGUGGUGCCUCCGCAUCUCCCCAGCACCACACAUGCUCAAACUCUUACCCCUUACUUCAGUCCUCCUUCCAAGUCAGGUAGUCUCUCCUGCCCAAAAUCCAAGAUGGUAGCUGGUGUCUCCACCUCAGAACUAUCUGAGUUGUGUGCUUCUGCCCAUACAGGGCUAAAGAAACAAAGGUGGACGUAUGUGAAUGUGACUGAGAAUUGGAGACUUUGGGGCUAGGGGAAGGAAAUAAAUUCUCUCUUCUCUGAAGGGAAAGCACCAAAGGGUGCACUGAAGGAAUAUAAAAAGAGAUAAUCGGUUGUUGUUUUUUGGCCGAAAUUUGUUUUAAUCGAGGAAAGGAAGCCGUUAUAAGAGGAAGAAGUGAAUGUAACAGCAGCCCGGGGAAUGGAUGAGAGAAUUUAUGAUAUGCUUUUCAGUUUAUUUUAGAAAUGAAAGGAAAUGAAUAAAAAGUACUCCGAGAUGUAUGUGGCACUGUAGCUGGGAGAGGAAUAUAAAAGGGAUUUUCUUUGUAGAAAGUAUCAGUAACUGCCAGCUGAUUAUGUUCACUUGGCCUUCAUCUGCUAUCACUUUGUGACAGAUACUAAGCUCUGCACUGCCAUUUUGUAUUUGGUGGAUUGCCAAUAUUUUUUAGCCCUUUCAAGUGAAUACUUGUUGAAGGGUUUGAAGCCCCCAGAUCUAACUAAAACAGGCUUCCUCAAACUCGGCCCUUCAGAUGUUUAUUAAGACUACAGUUCCCAUCAUCCCUUACCACUGGUCCUGCUACCUAGGGAUCAUGGGAGUUGUAUGCCAAAAACAUCUGGAAGGCCGAGUUUGAGGAAGCCUGAACUAAAAUCUCAAUAUAUAAUGCCUUUCCUCUGCCAGAAUGUGGGGUAAGUUCAUUGCAAACUUUCUAAAUUGAAAUUAAUUUUUUGAAGAAAAAAUAAACCAUUGACUGGUACUCUUGAGAACAAAAGCACUUUUGGGGGCAUAAGCCGUAUUAUGGGUGAAUUAGAUGCAUCUGUUCCAGGUCCUCUUGUGCUAGCUUCACUAAUUAUUCCUCUUUUUAAAAAGCAUUUCUUUUAUUUGUUCCCAAAAGAUACCUGAAUGAAGAAAUGAACAAAUCCAAAUUUCAAAUUUGCACCCAUUUCUUGUACAAUUUCUUGUGUGUAAAUAUGUGCAAAUAAGCUUUAUGGUUUCAAGGAAGGAGGAGCUAAGUAUUAUAUUUUGUGAUGUUUUCAGCUUUGGUGCCUCAUUUGUGUCACUGGACUCAGAAAAUGCUUUUUGCCUUCCUUCGUGACUUUUGCUUUUGUUUACCACGUCAACUAUAGCAGCAAAGGCAGAGAGAGAGAGAAAGUUUUGGCAGCUACCAUUUGGAUCACAAGCUUGUUCUCUUGGAAACUUGGUUCUCGUCCCCCCACCAUUGCUACCAUUUCUUUUAGAAGACUCUGCUGCCACAUACCUGAAGACCAUGUUGAGGUAGUGUUUGGUUUUCUUGCUUUCAAUGUUUUCAGAGUAAACUUUGAAGGUGGGGUUUGAAGGGGCUGUUUGAAGAAUGCGACCCAAGUAUCUUACAGGUGGCAUGAGAGGUACUCCCAGGCAUAGCAAAGGAGAUAUGGCAGAGUAUUAGAUAUUCUUUAGAUAGCUUAGAGUGGAUGAACUGAAGGAAGUGUCACGGGCGGAGCUAUAUUAGGAGGUGAGGGAAGAGAAAGAACUUUAAAGGCAAGAACAAGAAAUUUGUGUUGCAGCCAGUGUAGGGACUGAAGGUACUGCAUAUUCUGAGUGACAUGAGAGCAAAUUAUUUUGGUGGCUGAGUUCUAUAUAGAAGUAUUAGCUAAGAGAUAACAAAAAGGUCAGAAAGGAAAAACUAGCGUGAGAGCUAAACAUACUCCAUAAGAAGAGUAAUAGUUUCAUAACAUAUCAAGGAUGUCAGGAAUACUGACGUGAGGCAAGGUCAAGAUCUUGCUGGGGAGGCUGAAGGUGCUAUUAGAGAUAAGUUGACAAUUAGGUUAGAUUUGAAGUCUGUGUUCUAUAGCACAGAGACACUACAUAUCCACCAAGUUCUAGCAUUGGCCUGAAGCAUGGAGGAGUUCCCUUUUUGCCGCACUAGUCUCUUGUGAGAUAUUGAAAGCUGUUGAGUAAGUGAAGUGGUUCAUAGGAUCAUACCAUUGUCUCUUUGACACUUAAGACUGAUCCAUCACUUAACAACAGCUUAAUGUUCAAUAUUAUCCAUACUAAAUUUUCCAGAAACUAAUGCUGACUGUACAACUUCAAUUUAUUUUGUGUGCUUUUAUAGGAUAUAAAUAAUGACAAAAAUUACAAAAUUUAUAACUGGAAGCCCAAGCAUAUUUACAUAGUAGUAUUUGUUGCAGUGAGGCUACUAUUUACUUUUCUCCUAUACAAUAUUCCUUUUGGUACUAUAUUUUUCAGUGUUUACUGUCAGCCUACUACAUACAUAUCAACAAUUAAUAGGCAUAAUAUGUACAAGGAGCUGAUUGGUUCAAGUAAAUUGAAUACUGUAUUGAAAGGUUUUUUGUCAUUCAGCGCUAUGAUUAGGUUCAACUAAACCAUAUACAAUUUUGAAUUUUAAAGCAAGUUCAAU
rnacentral:lncRNA from 1 species